rnacentral:rRNA from 1 species
AGAUUGAACGCUGGCGGCGUGCUUAACACAUGCAAGUCGAGCGGCAGCGCGGUAGCAAUACUGGCGGCGAGCGGCGGACGGGUGAGUAACGCUUGGGAAUCUGCCUUUUAGUGGGGGACAACCCGGGGAACUCGGGCUAAUACCGCAUACGCUCUACGGAGGAAAGCCGGGGACCGCAAGGCCUGGCGCUAAUAGAUGAGCCCAAGUCGAUUAGCUAGU